GGUGCCCGAAAGGGAGCGGUAACACAGGUGCUGCAUGGCUGUCGUCAGCUCGUGUCGUGAGAUGUUGGGUUAAGUCCCGCAACGAGCGCAACCCUUGUCAUUAGUUGCCAGCAUUAAGUUGGGCACUCUAAUGAGACUGCCGGUGACAAGCCGGAGGAAGGUGGGGAUGACGUCAAGUCCUCAUGGCCCUUAUGACCAGGGCUUCACACGUCAUACAAUGGUCGGUACAGAGGGUCGCUAAGCCGCGAGGUAGUGCCAAUCUCAUAAAACCGAUCGUAGUCCGGAUCGCAGUCUGCAA
rnacentral:rRNA from 1 species